rnacentral:misc_RNA from 1 species
GAUGAAGAACGUAGUGAAAUGCGAUAAGUAAUGCGAAUUGCAGAAUUCAGUGAGUCAUCGAAUCUUUGAACGCACAUUGCGCCCGCUAGUAUUCUGGCGGGCAUGCCUGUCCGAGCGUCAUUUCAACCCUCAAGCCCCCGGGCUUGGUGUUGGGGAUCGGCGAGCCUCCGCGCCCGCCGUCCCCUAAAUCUAGUGGCGGUCUCGCUGUAGCUUCCUCUGCGUAGUAGCACACCUCGCACUGGGAAACAGCGCGGCCACGCCGUUAAACCCCCAACUUCUGAACGUUUGACCUCGGAUCAGGUAGGAAUACCCGCUGAACUUAAGCAUAUCAAUAAGCGGAGGA